UCCUGCCACACCCACGGUCGACAACCGCGACACACUUGCAAGUGCAACAAUUCUGAAAGUUCCACAGUUAAACAGUCGCUUAGCGUAAGUCUUUUAUGUCCAUCUCUAUAAGUUGUCCACCAUAGUAGACAAUAGAACCUUCAACUUGUUCCUUGCUUUUAUGUUUUCAUUAAAUUUGUUAUGUCCACUGGUCAGUUUUUCCUAAAAGAUUGUUAUAACUUGUCCACCAUAAUAGACAACGUAACCUACUACUUAGCCCUACAUUUUCCUGUCCAUUCAUAUUACUUGUCCAUUGCUAACUUAUCCACAACUUAAAUGUUUUCCAAAAAAGUGUAAUGUCCAUUGCUAAGUUGUCCACCGUAAUAGACAAGUUAACUUUCUACUAGUAGCCGAACACUUCCUGUCCAUUCAUAUUACUUGUCCAUUGCUAACUUGUCCACUGCUUAAUUGUUUUUCAAAAAUAUGUAAUGUCCAUUAAGUAGUCCACCGUAGUAGACAAGUUAACCUUCUACUAAUAGCCGAACAAUUUCCUGUCCAUUCAUAUUACAUGUCCAUUGCCUAAAUGUUUUCAUGUCUGUAUGAUGAACAAGCCAUCUAAUGUGGCCCACUCUGAUUCACUACAUCAACACCAUGCUUCUCAAUCGGCUCGUCUACCUCCUAGGCUAUUCUCCACAGAUCGAUAUCCUGUGAAAGGUCGUAUCAAUUCCUACUCUAAGCCGGAGUAUCUGCUGGAUAUUGUUGAAGUAUUAGAUGGUUAUGAUGAGUUUAACUGGUUAAAAGAAUCAUGCUUUGGGCGAUUGUUUGAACUCCCAGUUAGGAAGAGCUCGCUAUCUGGCAAACUUGUCCACCAAAUUCUCUGUCGCUCUCUUAUAACAAAGAUGAAAAGAGAGUUGUAGUUUGUCUUUGCUGGUCAUCCCAUACGGUUUUCUUUGAGAGAGUUUGGAAUCAUUACGGGACUGAAUUGCGGUCAAUUCCCUUCUGAAGAAACUCUUUCUAAGUUGCAGAAUCCUGGCGAAGGUCAAGAGCCGUACUAUCACACUCUUAUUGGCCCUAAGAAGUCAUACAGCAUACAAUAUAUUGUUAAUCUGUUGAAGCUUGACAAGAGGUUACCAAAAUCAAAAAGAAUGGAUGCGGAUAGAAGGCUACGUUUGGCACUUAUUGUCAUAGUCGAAGGUAUUUUAGUCUGCGACUCUUCUAAUGUGAGAGCCUCGAUGAGAGUUGCAGAGAUGGUGAAAGAUGUCGACGCAUUUGUGAAAUAUCCUUGUGGGCGGAUGUCAUUUCUUAAGACGUUAGAGAUGGUCAAAGUCGGUGAGAAAGUAGAAACUUUACACAAGCUUGCUGAGAAACUAAAUCAGUCCCAUACAGCAGCAACACACAGCUUCACACUUGCUUUCCAGCUUCUUAUUCUCCAUGCCAUUCCCCAGUUAGAGAAAUACCUUCCUGACGUCAUGGAUGAGCAAACAUUUACUGAUUGAUCUGUGCUCCAUUUGACUAAACUUAAAUCCUUUCACAAUUCAAACAUCCUGGAAACAGAGCUACACCCGGAUGUAAGUUCUGUAUGCUGAAGUCGUAUUAAGCUUUGUUUUGUUAUCAAAGACAUAUAUCCGUUUUUUAACAUGUGGGCAAUCUAUUUCGUAGGUUGAUGUUGAAAGCAUUUUACACGGUGAUGAUGAUGCAGACAUCCAAGACUACUCCUGGGGUGAGGAUGAGACGCAUGAUGUGGGAGUGGAUUACAUCUGUGAAAAGCUUAAAGAAGGUCAUAUCUUCAAAAAAGAAGACUGGCAUGGUGGUUUCGGACAUCUACCACUGAUAACAGCGGUGGCUAUUAAGGAAAAUCUGAAGAAAGAAGCAGUCAAACCAAAGAAACCACCUACAAAACGCAACCCAAAGGUACAAGUGAAAGCAGAAUCUCUUGACAAGAAAAAAACUACCAUACAAGGUAGGAGUUCCGUUAGAGGGGAAACGGUGUUUCAUGAUGAUUGUCUAACUCCUCAAGCCUUGCUUGAUGAAGUAGACCGGAGAAUCAAUAAACAUACAUCGAAGAUAGAGUUAAUGUUGUCUGUAGAGAGGGGUGCCAUGAGAGACGAGAUUGUUGAUGAUGUUCUCAAAACUCUGCGAGAGAAAGGAUUGUUUGAUAGGAAUAUAAAGCACUCAGAUUUGUUGCAGGAGAUCAACAAGUCAUCUUGGUGUAUUGGUGCUAGCGGCUCUAGACAGCCCACUCAUUUGCGGGAUAAUAAAGCAUGGUCCAGCUUUAUGCCUGGUAUUCCAGAGAUUCUCACCAAAAUUAACUCUACUGCCGCGGAUCAGGUGGGUGUGAAGAUGUCUCUGCUACAGGAAAGACAUCAGGUAAUAGGAAGAUGGGAAUGAGAGUGAAUCCCAUGACGGGGCUCAGGUUGAUAGUGGUAGUGAAUCUGAAUAAGAUAUUGGUGUCACGAAUGAUGUAGUUGAUGUUGCUACUGAAUCCGAAGAUUGUGUGGAUAAGGAGGACGAGGACGAGUCUGGGAUGAAGGAGGACGAGGAUGGGGUUAAUGAUAGAGAGGACGAUGAUGGAGUGGACGAUGUUAGGGACAACGAUGAAGGGGACGAAGAAGGAGACGAGCAGGAUGCCCAGGAACAAGGAGACGAGCAGGAUGCGCAUGAAGAAGGAGACGACUAGGAUGCGCAAGAAAAAGGAGACGAGCAGAAUGUCCAGGAAGAAGGAGACGAGCAGGAUGCGCAGGAAGAAGGAGACGACCAGGAUGCGCAGGAAGAAGGAGAUGAGGAUGAGGAAGAGGAAGUCGGGGAAGAAGGGGAUGUUUUCGUCGAAAGCAAUCACCAAACUGUGGAGGAUGAUGGUGGAAAACAGCUUGUAGUAUAUGAUGGACAAAAUCAAGAUGCUGAAUCUGGUAGAGAAGCCGGGAAUAACUCGACCACAGUCGAAGAAACUACCCCAACUUCUACUAAGAAACGCUCUCGAUCCACUACAGAUGAGAAAACUGAAUUGCCCCAAAUCCCUACGAAGAGGUUAAGGACAAAGCCUAAAAGGUUUGGGCAGUGUUCAUCUUCAACUAAAAAAAGGAAGGCAUCUGAAAUAGAUAACGUAGUCCAUGUAUACAUGCCUUUCUGGCCUGUGUCCGUGUCAUUGAGAGAAAAGUUCUUAACAAAGCUGGAGUCUUAUAGAAAAAAAAGAGUAUGUCAUUGACGGACACCGUGAGAAGAGGGAAUUUUUUGAAAUCAUUUAUACUCCCACUAAAUGGGUCGAUUCUCCGCAUGUGGAAGCAAUGCUUAGCAUAUUGUGGAGGAGAUUGGGUGAGUUUUUCUUACAGGGUAAGAUCGGUGUAUUGGAUACAUGGUUUACGCAGAGAGUUGCUGAAGAUUAUGGACGGUAUCUAAAGACGAAGAAGAAGGCAUCAUUAAAUUGGAACAGUUUGAUCAAGAACUAUGUCAAAGGAGUAGUCCCUAGCCGUUCUGCCAAAUUGGCAUAGUAUACCGACAUUGAUACUGUGUAUGUACCAUUGAAUUGGGGGAAGCGUCAUUGGGUUGCUGCUGUUAUUAAACUAAAGUUAGGACACGUAUACAUCCUAGAUCCCCUCAUCGUGAACAAUGACUCCAAGAGAUUGUCGCGGCUGUUGAAACCCCUGCUUGCCAUGCUCCCUUUGAUAAUUAAGCAGUUUGUAGAUAUGGAUGCAGUUGAUUGCACUAUCCCUAACGCAUUCACGUUUGAGAGGCUUGUUGAUGUUUACCAGAACGACCGGACGGGUGACUGUGGGCCUCUGACAUGCAAGUUCAUAGAACUACACGCUCAAGGUCUGAGUCUGGAUGGACUAACAGAGGACAAGGUAGACGAGCUGAGGAUGCGCUUCGCCAUAGAUGUCUACGAGGAAUUUGUACUCUCUCUAAGUUAGUUCCUGAUACAAUUUGGUUUUAUUUAUUUUUCUUUGUUGAUGAACUAUG